rnacentral:misc_RNA from 1 species
ACUCUGCCUCGUGCAGAGAGUGGGAGGCCGGGAAGUUGUUCAAACUUGAUCAUUUAGAGGAAGUAAAAGUCGUAACAAGGUUUCCGUAGGUGAACCUGCGGAAGGAUCAUUACCGAGUAGCUACCUACCUACCUCCACUGGCCGCGAGUCAGUCAGUGAAUGAGUGGGGUGUUUACUACCGUGUGAACCGACUGAAAAAUUUUUUAGGGGUCGGCUCGUUCCGUUAAAAGGGGAGCACCGUGAUGAGCCACCGGCUGGUGAGCCUCGCGGUGGGCUCCUGCCCCGACAGUGUUUUUUAAAGGACACAUUUGAUGUAAAAGACUGAGCGCAGUGAGAGAGAUAUGUUCUAACAUACAAAAAUAAAAGUGUGACAACUUUUGACGGUGGAUCUCUAGGCUCACGCAUCGAUGAAGAACGCAGCCAGCUGCGAUAAGUAGUGUGAAUUGCAGAAUUCAGUGAAUCAUCGAAUCUUACUCUGCCUCGUGCAGAGAGUGGGAGGCCGGGAAGUUGUUCAAACUUGAUCAUUUAGAGGAAGUAAAAGUCGUAACAAGGUUUCCGUAGGUGAACCUGCGGAAGGAUCAUUACCGAGUAGCUAGCUACCUACCUCCACUGGCCGCGAGUCAGUGAAUGAGUGGGGUGUUUACUACCGUGUGAACCGACUGAAAAAUUUUUUAGGGGUCGGCUCGUUCCGUUAAAAGGGGAGCACCGUGAUGAGCCACCGGCUGGCUGGUGAGCCUCGCGGUGGGCUCCUGCCCCGACAGUGUUUUUUAAAAGGACACAUUUGAUGUAAAAGACUGAGCGCAGUGAGAGAGAUAUGUUCUAACAUAGAAAAAUAAAAGUGUGACAACUUUUGACGGUGGAUCUCUAGGCUCACGCAUCGAUGAAGAACGCAGCCAGCUGCGAUAAGUAGUGUGAAUUGCAGAAUUCAGUGAAUCAUCGAAUCUU